rnacentral:piRNA from 1 species
UUUUAGAUGUGUAGCUAGCUCAAG